rnacentral:rRNA from 1 species
GACGAACGCUGGCGGCGUGCUUAACACAUGCAAGUCGAACGGAAAGGCCCUGCUUUUGUGGGGUGCUCGAGUGGCGAACGGGUGAGUAACACGUGAGUAACCUGCCCUUGACUUUGGGAUAACUUCAGGAAACUGGGGCUAAUACCGGAUAGGAGCUCCUGCUGCAUGGUGGGGGUUGGAAAGUUUCGGCGGUUGGGGAUGGACUCGCGGCUUAUCAGCUUGUUGGUGGGGUAGUGGCUUACCAAGGCUUUGACGGGUAGCCGGCCUGAGAGCGUGACCGGCCACCUUGGGACUGAGAUACGGCCCAGACUCCUACGGGCGGCAGCAGUGGGGAAUAUUGCACAAUGGGCGGAAGCCUGAUGCAGCAACGCCGCGUGCGGGAUGCCGUCCUUCGGGUUGUAAACCGCUUUCGCCUGUGACGAAGCGUGAGUGACGGUAAUGGGUAAAGAAGCACCGGCUAACUACGUG